rnacentral:rRNA from 1 species
GGGCCCGCACAAGCAGUGGAGCAUGUGGUUUAAUUCGAUGCAACGCGAAGAACCUUACCAGGCCUUGACAUCCUCGGAACUUUCUAGAGAUAGAUUGGUGCCUUCGGGAGCGCAGUGACAGGUGGUGCAUGGCUGUCGUCAGCUCGUGUCGUGAGAUGUUGGGUUAAGUCCCGCAACGAGCGCAACCCUUAUCCUUAGUUGCCAUCACGUUUGGGUGGGCACUCUAGGGAAACUGCCGGUGCUAAGCCGGAGGAAGGCGGGGAUGACGUCAAGUCCUCAUGGCCCUUACGGGUAGGGCUACACACGUGCUACAAUGGCAGUGACAAUGGGCUAAUCCCCAAAAGCUGUCUCAGUUCGGAUUGUCGGCUGCAACUCGCCGGCAUG